AUUGAACGCUGGCGGCAGGCCUAACACAUGCAAGUCGAGCGAGCGGCGGACGGGUGAGUAAUGUAUGGGUAUCUGCCCGAUAGAGGGGGAUAACUACUGGAAACGGUGUCUAAUACCGCAUACUCGCGUCUGACCCCAUCUGGGAUUAGCUAGUAGGUGGGGUAAAGGCUCACCUAGGCGACGAUCUCUAGCUGGUCUGAGAGGAUGAUCAGCCACACUGGGACUGAGACACGGCCCAGACUCCUACGGGAGGCAGCAGUGGGGAAUAGUGCACAAUGGGCGCAAGCCUGAUGCAGCCAUGCCGCGUGUAUGAAGAAGGCCUUAGGGUUGUAAAGCACUUUCAGCGGGGAGGCGUUACCCGCAGAAGAAGCAACGGCUAACUACGUGCCAGCAGCCGCGGUAAUUC
rnacentral:rRNA from 1 species